rnacentral:misc_RNA from 1 species
CAGUGAAACCAACAUGCAGGGGCUUUUAUCACAGAAUAGGUUAAUAAAUCAGGUGAUUGAUCAUUGAGUUGAAAAGUGAGAGAAGUUUAGUGCUUCUGUAGACAAUGUAUGAACACUCUUAAGAAUUAUCAUGUAAGAGAUGUAAUAUCUAUCAUUGUUCAAGCAAAACAAAUAAUAAUAAUAAUAAUUGUCUGAAAUUGAGGUAUGGUAUUCUAUUCUAUCAAAUAGAUGGCCUUCAAAAAAGCUUCCUUUGUCUUCAACAAAGGUUAAUAUUUUUUUCCACAAGGCCAACUUUCACUUCUUAUAAUAUUGCUUGUUAUGCCAUAUAAAAUAAAUCUGGAAGAAGAAUGAUUUAAAAUUACUAAUUAUAUACUAAUCAGUCACUCGGCUACUUAAUAUUUUGCAUCCUACAUGCUGCUUUAAAGUUACCUAGUUUCAGCAAGAGGAGCAGACCUGAUGAACAUCCCCAAUAAAAUG